UACGUAGGGACCAAGCGUUGUUCGGAUUUACUGGGCGUAAAGGGCGCGUAGGCGGCGUGUUAAGUCAGUUGUGAAAUCUCCAAGCUUAACUUGGAACGGUCAACUGAUACUGAUGUGCUAGAGUGCAGAAGGGGCAACCGGAAUUCUUGGUGUAGCGGUGAAAUGCGCAGAUAUCAGGAGGAACACCAAUGGCGAAGGCAGCACUCUGGGACGUGACUGACGCUGAGACGCGAAAGCGUGGGGAGCAAACAGG
rnacentral:rRNA from 1 species